UACGGAGGAUGCGAGCGUUAUCCGGAUUCAUUGGGUUUAAAGGGUGCGUAGGCGGCCCGGUAAGUCAGCGGUGAAAGUUUGCGGCUCAACCGUAAAAUUGCCGUUGAUACUGUCGGGCUUGAGUUCAGAUGAAGUGGGCGGAAUGAGUAGUGUAGCGGUGAAAUGCUUAGAUAUUACUCAGAACACCGAUUGCGAAGGCAGCCCACUAAACUGCGACUGACGCUGAUGCACGAAAGCGUGGGGAUCGAACAGGAUUAGAUACCCUGGUAGUCCACGCCGUAAACGAUGUUCACUCGCUGUUUGCGAUAUAUUGCAAGCGGCCAAGCGAAAGCAUUAAGUGAACCACCUGGGGAGUACGAUCGCAAGGUUGAA
rnacentral:rRNA from 1 species